rnacentral:rRNA from 1 species
CCUACGGGAGGCAGCAGUAGGGAAUCUUCCACAAUGGGCGCAAGCCUGAUGGAGCAACACCGCGUGAGUGAAGAAGGUUUUCGGCUCGUAAAGCUCUGUUGUUGGAGAAGAACGUGCGUGAGAGUAACUGUUCACGCAGUGACGGUAUCCAACCAGAAAGUCACGGCUAACUACGUGCCAGCAGCCGCGGUAAUACGUAGGUGGCAAGCGUUAUCCGGAUUUAUUGGGCGUAAAGCGAGCGCAGGCGGUUGGUUAGGUCUGAUGUGAAAGCCCUCGGCUUAACCGAAGAAGUGCAUCGGAAACCGGGCGAAGUGAGUGCAGAAGAGGAUAGUGGAACUCCAUGUGUAGCGGUGAAAUGCGUAGAUAUAUGGAAGAACACCAGGGGCGAAGGCGGCUGUCUGGUCCGCAACUGACGCUGAGGCUCGAAAGCAUGGGUAGCGAACAGGAUUAGAUACCCCAGUAGUC